UUAUUUAGUUUAUAAUAUUUUCGCUUAGUAAUUCAUUCAAUAGUAUUUUCUAGUUAGAAUUAGAAGUGUUUAAAGUAUAUUCAUUGCAUGUAAAAUAUAUCGGCAUGCGAUGACGUCACAUCCGGUUUCGCCGCGUCUUGUGGGAAAACACCGGUUUGAAAUUAGCGCGAGGGUGGGGGCUUUCCACGAGGCUCACCUGAGCACAAGCAGUUUGCAGGCAUGAGAAAUCACAGUGAGAGCAACGCUUUUUCACCAUAUGUUAAUGUGAAGAGUGAACAGUAAAUGGUUAAUCUUACUGCGAUCUGGUUCUUAUUAACUGUGGUUUAUCCGGACGUUAAAUUCGGCGUUUCGUUACACCCGAAGGAGAAAGUGACAGUGAAAAAGCGGCAUUAUCAGGUGUUUCAAGUGCGGCAAUGUCAGCUCAAUCCAGCAUCAAGUCGACGCCGCCCAGCGACAAGGGCAGUAAACCGACAUCAAGUAAGCCCACCCGGGCGUUAUCAGGUGUUCCAAGUGCUGCAAUGUCAGCUCGAUCCGGGAUCAAGUCGAUGGCGCCCAGCGACAAGGGCAGUAGAACGACAUCAAGUAAGUCCGCACAGGCAAGAGCCAAGGCAGAAGCCGCCAAGGUGCGACUGCAUUACGCCAGACAAGAAGCAGUUUUGAAAAUGAAACUGGCCACCAGAGAAGCCGAAAUCCAGAAAGAAAGGGCCGCCAGACAAAAAGAAGAGGCUGGCAGAGAAGCCGAAACCCAGUUGGAAAUGACAAAAAUAUCGACAGAGUUGCAUGUGCUGCAGCUAGAAGGAGAAGGAGAAGCUGCCAGGGUGGAAGCAGAGUACAUAGAAGAAGCUGAAGGGUCGCGUGAUCUGACCGAAACAAGCUCUGCUUUGGAAAGGACCAGACUGGAACGCACGAGCGACUAUGUACAAUAUCAAGCAGACAGGCAGGCUCGUCUCCCCUCUCCAUACCUAUUCGAUAACUUCCCCAGCUACGAGGAAGAGAAUUUACCCUCGCGGCCCCGCGAUGAAGUCAAGAAUGAAAGAGCUGACAACCGAUAUACUUUGACACCAAAGUUACAAAGUUCGAUGCGAAGAGACGCGGAGGUUGAAUCCAGGAUGGCAAAUUCCAUGAGAAACGUGCGUUCUCAGUCAUAUGGGCGCCAACGCACUUCUCCAGCCCGCAUGCCGCUUGCAGCCGAUCCCACGCUGCAGUAUUUAGCACGACGGGAUCUCGUCACUUCGGGACUGUACCAGUUUGACGAUAAACCCGAAAAUUACCGUGCUUGGCUCUCCACAUUCACCAACGUGAUUGACGGGGUCCAGCUCAGUGCAACCCAAAGGUUGGACCUUAUGGCGAAAUGGCUGGGGAAAGAAUCACGCGACCAGGUGAGACGCAUGCGUUCAGUGUACAUCAACAAACCUGAGCUAGCCUUAAGCGAAGCGUGGGAGAGACUUUGGGAGAGAUAUGGGUCCCCCGACAUUAUUGAAGCGGCGCUAUAUCGACGUCUGGGAAACUUUCCUAAGGUGUCAGCCAAAGAUCACUUUAAGUUAAGAGAAUUCGGAGAUUUACUCAUGGAGAUCCAAGGCGCCAAAGAAGAUGGCUAUUCAGCUGGUCUAGUAUUCCUAGAUACUCCAUCCGGGAUUAGACCAAUUGUGGACAAACUUCCAUUUGGGCUGCAGGACAAGUGGCUGACUGUUGCCUCAGAGUACAAGGAAGACCACGAUGGUCGAUUUCCUCCCUUUGAGCUCCUCACUAGGUUUGUGUGCAAGGAGGCGAAGAGGCGAAACGACCCUAGCCUUGUAGGUCCAGGAAGCAGUUCGAUUUACACCAAGCCAGGCAGAUCCGUUUCGAAUGUUUUCAACAUUGAUAAACCCGUGUCAGUGCUCAAGACCGAAGCCCUUACGACUAACAACGACCCUGGCAAGUAUUGUCCAUUGCAUAACAAACCUCACCCCCUGAAAGCAUGCAGAAUGUUUAGGGAAAAACCCCUUGAAGAGAGGACGGCUCUUCUCAAGGAGAAAAGAAUAUGUUUUAGAUGCUGUUCCUCGACCUCUCACCUCGCCAGAGAGUGUACGAUCGCCGUGAAGUGUCCGGAAUGUGGCAGCCCAGAUCACGUCGAGGCCAUGCAUCCCGACCUGUCACCACAAACCGAGAGCGCUCCUUCACCCCCACAACAGGACGGCGGGGAGGGAGAGGCUCACUCUAGGUCAAUAGCUGUCAGCACGAACUGUACAGAAGUUUGCGGUCAAGCUCAGUCAAGUCGUUCUUGUUCCAAGAUCUGCCUCACUAAGGUGUACCCUAAAGGAGCCAAAGACAAGGCCAUCAAAGCCUAUGUGAUUCUGGACGAUCAGAGCAAUCGUUCACUAGUCAGUCCAGAGUUCUUUAAAUUGUUCAACAUUGAGAGCGAGCGGUUCCCAUACUACCUCAAAACUUGCUCAGGCAACAUGAAAACCCAAGGAAGGAAGGCAGAAGGCAUCCAGAUCGAGUCCCUGGAUGGUAAAGUCGUCAUCUGUCUCCCUCCGCUCUUAGAGUGCAAUGAAAUCAUGAAUAACCGCGCUGGGAUCCCGACACCAAGUGCGGUGCUACACCAGCCGCAUCUCCACCACAUCGCCAAACACAUCCCAGAACUGGAUCCGAAAGCGGAAAUACUCCUGCUAUUAGGAAGAGAUGUUAUCCAGGUACACAAGGUUAGGCAGCAGAUCAAUGGACCACUCAACGCCCCCUUCGCGCAACGUCUGGAUCUGGGCUGGGUGGUGAUAGGAGAGGUGUGUCUCGGUGACGUACACAAACCGACGGUCGACACACUCAAGACCAAUGUGCUAGAGAGUGGCCGCCAUUCAAUCUUUCAACCCUGCCCGAGUGUCCCGUGCAUCAAGGAAGCACAACAAGGCGUUAACAAGCGCGAGGCAAGCGACGAGUCGCUGGGCCAGUCAGUCUUCGCUCUAACGAAGUAUGACAACAAACUUGCACAAUCAGCUCAAGAUACCAUUUCUUUAAAAAUCAAAGACACCAAGGUCUUCAGAGAUGAAGCAAAUAAUGGGGUUGCCCCAUUGCCAAUCAGAGAACCACGCCAGCGCUCACCAGAUAACAAAGAGCAGGCAGUCAAACGGUUCACGUCCUUACGGAAAACCCGAAAAAGGGAACCUGAGAUACAGCAACGCACCCGAUUGGCCCACGAGGUACUGUGCACCCUAAUGGCAGAGGUCACAGCCAUUAUAAACGCACAAUCAUUCCUACCUGUGUCUUCCGACCCAGAAAACCCCUUUAUACUUUCGCCAUCAACGCUCCUUACGCAGAAGGCAGGAGCACCUCCUCCACCAGGAGACUUCUCAGACAAGGAUUUGUACACAAAGCAAUGGAGACAAGUCCAGGCUCUGGCAAAUCAGUUCUGGUCCCGCUGGAGACAAAAAUAUCUACCUUUGUUGCAACAGAGACAAAAGUGGACAGAACCCCGAAGGAAUCUUCAAGUUGGAGACUUAGUCCUGCUCAGGGACAAGCAAGUCGCUCGCAACAGCUGGCCAACUGCCAGAAUUACUGCUACAUUCCCUAGCGAGGAUGGACAUGUCAGGAAGAUCGAAUUGAAGACUACCGACCAAGGCGAUGUGAAAAUUUACCAAGGGCCAGUUACAGAAGUUAUUCUACUUCUACCCAAUGACUGAUUAAGAGACUAAGUUUGUACUCUGCUCAUUGUGACCUUACGAAGGUCAAGCGGGGAGUGUGCUGUCUUUACGACAGUUAUUUAGUUUAUAAUAUUUUCGCUUAGUAAUUCAUUCAAUAGUAUUUUCUAGUUAGAAUUAGAAGUGUUUAAAGUAUAUUCAUUGCAUGUAAAAUAUAUCGGCAUGCGAUGACGUCACAUCCGGUUUCGCCGCGUCUUGUGGGAAAACACCGGUUUGAAAUUAGCGCGAGGGUGGGGGCUUUCCACGAGGCUCACCUGAGCACAAGCAGUUUGCAGGCAUGAGAAAUCACAGUGAGAGCAACGCUUUUUCACCAUAUGUUAAUGUGAAGAGUGAACAGUAAAUGGUUAAUCUUACUGCGAUCUGGUUCUUAUUAACUGUGGUUUAUCCGGACGUUAAAUUCGGCGUUUCGUUACACCCGAAGGAGAACGUGACAGUCCCUGUGGAAAACCAAUCAUCACUGGCAGCUAACCAGAAUAGGCAGGUCCGCUUUAUUCCUUCUCUUUGGCUCCUGCCAAUCAGCCAAUCUUCUAUCCAUGUUAGUAUUUUUCCUGUAACAUUAGGGGCUCUUAACUUUUUAAGCAGUGUCAUUGUGUGGUAUCUUGUCAAAGGCCUUCUGAAAAUCCAAGUAAACAACAUUCACUGACUCUC